rnacentral:rRNA from 1 species
UGCCAGACUCCUACGGGAGGCAGCAGUGGGGAAUAUUGCGCAAUGGGGGCAACCCUGACGCAGCAACGCCGCGUGAUUGAAGACGGCCUUCGGGUUGUAAAGAUCUUUAAUCGGGGACGAAUUUUGACGGUACCCGAAGAAUAAGCUCCGGCUAACUACGUGCCAGCAGCCGCGGUAAUACGUAGGUGGCAAGCGUUAUCCGGAUUUACUGGGUGUAAAGGGCGUGUAGGCGGGAUGGUAAGUCAGAUGUGAAAACUAUGGGCUCAACCCAUAGCCUGCAUUUGAAACUAUCGUUCUUGAGUGUUGGAGAGGCAGGCGGAAUUCCGUGUGUAGCGGUGAAAUGCGUAGAUAUACGGAGGAACACCAGUGGCGAAGGCGGCCUGCUGGACAAUAACUGACGCUGAGGCGCGAAAGCGUGGGGAGCAAACAGGAUUAGAUACCCCCGUAUUC